UACAGAGGUCUCAAGCGUUGUUCGGAUUCAUUGGGCGUAAAGGGUGCGUAGGUGGCGUCGUAAGUCGGGUGUGAAAUUUCGGAGCUUAACUCCGAAACUGCAUUCGAUACUGCGGUGCUUGAGGACUGGAGAGGAGACUGGAAUUUACGGUGUAGCAGUGAAAUGCGUAGAGAUCGUAAGGAAGACCAGUGGCGAAGGCGGGUCUCUGGACAGUUCCUGACACUGAGGCGCGAAAGCGUGGGGAGCAAACAGG
rnacentral:rRNA from 1 species